UUUCCGUAGGUGAACCUGCGGAAGGAUCAUUACUGAGGUUGUCACUUCUUCGGAGGUGUUACCCGUCCUUAUGUCAUACGCACGGGCCGCGGCCGGGGUUGCCUUCGCAAGGAGGCGCCGCGGACGCGGAACGAGACUGUAUUUCCGCCGAGGUGGCGUGUCGGUCUCUUUCUCUUCCCUCUCUCGAGCGAUCGAGUGGAGGGUGGGAGAGGGUUCGACAUGUCCGCGGCGGGCCCAACCUUCUACAACUCUUGCGAGAACUUGAAGUCUGAAGAAUCAUAUAAAAAUAAAAGCAAAACUUUCAACAACGGAUCUCUUGGCUCUGGCAUCGAUGAAGAACGCAGC
rnacentral:misc_RNA from 1 species